AUGAACGCUGGCGGCGUGCCUAAUACAUGCAAGUCGAGCGAACAGACGAGGAGCUUGCUCCUCUGACGUUAGCGGCGGACGGGUGAGUAACACGUGGAUAACCUACCUAUAAGACUGGGAUAACUUCGGGAAACCGGAGCUAAUACCGGAUAAUAUAUUGAACCGCAUGGUUCAAUAGUGAAAGACGGUUUUGCUGUCACUUAUAGAUGGAUCCGCGCCGCAUUAGCUAGUUGGUAAGGUAACGGCUUACCAAGGCAACGAUGCGUAGCCGACCUGAGAGGGUGAUCGGCCACACUGGAACUGAGACACGGUCCAGACUCCUACGGGAGGCUGCAGUAGGGAAUCUUCCGCAAUGGGCGAAAGCCUGACGGAGCAACGCCGCGUGAGUGAUGAAGGUCUUCGGAUCGUAAAACUCUGUUAUUAGGGAAGAACAAAUGUGUAAGUAACUAUGCACGUCUUGACGGUACCUAAUCAGAAAGCCACGGCUAACUACGUG
rnacentral:rRNA from 1 species